UAUUUGCAGGACGUCUAUUGAUUCCUUCUUCGGAUCAGAAUGAUUGUAUUCCUGAAUUAAUUUAUAUUUAUGUAACACUGAACUGAAAAGAAAUAAGUAAAGAAGAACCCACGACUUUGUGUUUUCCAUUUAACCAAAUAAACAUUUGGAGGAAAAAUACAUAAAGUUACAAUGGCGCCCAACGGGUUGUGACAUUCAGUGUUUUUUAAUUAAAAGUUAAAGUCAAUAUUGUAAGUAAUUUGGUAAUUGCUCAUGAACAUUUUGAACGAGAAAUAUACUCGAUCUGAGACUUCAAACCAGUUUGAGGAAUCCUGCUGGAGGGUUCAACGCACCGUGGCAGGUGAUAGUUUAGGGAGCAGCAUUCCAGUACGUUAGGACCAGACAAACGGGGUAUCGAGGACGAGAACACGGAGCAGCAUUCCAGUACGUUAGGACAAGCCAAACAGGGUAUCAAGGACGAGAAUACGGAGGAAUAAACUAUAAUGUGACACUGAGAUGAUAUUGUGACAUUUUGAGGUUAGCAAAGGAACAGUGUGGACUUGGAAAUAAUUGUGUGACAAUUGUGUUUUAAUAACAAGUGGCGGACCGACUGCUGUUUCGGGUAUUUCUUGCAGAGUAACAUCACUUGCGGACACGGAUUCGGAAGAAGCUCUGCGACGCCAGAUUCCAUAAAUUUGACGUCUAUUGAUUCCUUCUUCUGAUCAGAAUGAUUGUAUUCCUGAAUUAAUUUAUAUUUAUGUAACACUGAACUGAAAAGAAAUAAGUAAAGAAGAACCCACGACUAUGUGUUUUCCAUUUAACCAAAUAAACAUUUGGAGGAAAAAUACAUAAAGUUACAAACAUAUAACUACUUGAAAAAAAUCUAUUGUUAUGUGUUUUAUGAUACAUUUUAAUGUCUGUUAAUUUCUUCAUGUAAUUAUGAUAAAUUGUUUCCAUAAAUUAGUAUCCAUGUGCUAUGCUAAAAAA